rnacentral:rRNA from 1 species
UUGACCUGAACUCAGUCGAGAUCACCCG